AGGACGUGAUUUCUUAAAGGAUUCAAUGACAACAAGAUUACAAGAAUUUCGGGAGAAAAAAAAGAACCAAGCUUCUUACGAAAAGAUAUCUUUGCCAUCUCCCAAGAGUGACAACGACUAUGACGACAUUGACAAAACUCCUUCUACAGCAGUACUUGAUGAUAAUAACAGUGAAGUCAUCAUUGGUGUUUUGCCUUCUAC